AACAGGAUUAGAUACCCUGGUAGUCCACGCCGUAAACGUUGGGAACUAGAUGUGGGGGCCAUUCCACGGUCUCCGUGUCGCAGCUAACGCAUUAAGUUCCCCGCCUGGGGAGUACGGCCGCAAGGCUAAAACUCAAAGGAAUUGACGGGGGCCCGCACAAGCGGCGGAGCAUGCGGAUUAAUUCGAUGCAACGCGAAGAACCUUACCAAGGCUUGACAUAUACGAGAACGGGCCAGAAAUGGUCAACUCUUUGGACACUCGUAAACAGGUGGUGCAUGGUUGUCGUCAGCUCGUGUCGUGAGAUGUUGGGUUAAGUCCCGCAACGAGCGCAACCCUCGUUCUAUGUUGCCAGCACGUCAUGGUGGGAACUCAUAGGAGACUGCCGGGGUCAACUCGGAGGAAGGUGGGGAUGACGUCAAAUCAUCAUGCCCCUUAUGUCUUGGGCUUCACGCAUGCUACAAUGGCCGGUACAAAGGGCUGCAAUACCGUAAGGUGGAGCGAAUCCCAAAAAGCCGGUCUCAGUUCGGAUUGAGGUCUGCAACUCGACCUCAUGAAGUCGGAGUCGCUAGUAAUCGUGAAUCAGCAACGUCACGGUGAAUACGUUCCCGGGCCUUGUACACACCGCCCGUCAAGUCAUGAAAGUCGGUAACACCCAACGCCAGUGGCCUAACCCCUUGUGGGAGGGAGCUGUCUAAGGUGGGAUCGGUGAUUAGGACUAAGUCGUAACAAGGUAACC
rnacentral:rRNA from 1 species